rnacentral:rRNA from 1 species
GCGAUCAUACCAGCACUAAUGCACCGGAUCCCAUCAGAACUCCGAAGUUAAGCGUGCUUGGGCGAGAGCAGUACUAGGAUGGGUGACUCCUGUGACGGCCUCGUGUUGCACCU